rnacentral:rRNA from 1 species
GCAACAGCUCAGAUUUGGAAUCUGGCCCCCAGCGCCGGAGUUGUAAUCUGGAGAGGAUGCUUCUGGCGCGGCGCUUCCGAGUUCCCUGGAACGGGACGCCGGAGAGGGUGAGAGCCCCGUACGGUUGGACGCCUAGCCUUUGUGAAGCUCCUUCGACGAGUCGAGUAGUUUGGGAAUGCUGCUCAAAAUGGGAGGUAAAUUUCUUCUAAAGCUAAAUACCGGCCAGAGACCGAUAGCGCACAA